rnacentral:rRNA from 1 species
GUGUCACCGCCGCGGUAAUACGAAGGGGGCUAGCGUUGUUCGGAUUUACUGGGCGUAAAGCGCACGUAGGCGGACUAUUAAGUCAGGGGUGAAAUCCCGGGGCUCAACCCCGGAACUGCCUUUGAUACUGGUAGUCUUGAGUUCGAGAGAGGUGAGUGGAAUUCCGAGUGUAGAGGUGAAAUUCGUAGAUAUUCGGAGGAACACCAGUGGCGAAGGCGGCUCACUGGCUCGAUACUGACGCUGAGGUGCGAAAGCGUGGGGAGCAAACAGGAUUAGAAACC